UACGGAGGGGGCAAGCGUUGUUCGGAAUUACUGGGCGUAAAGGGCUCGUAGGCGGCCAACUAAGUCAGACGUGAAAUCCCCAGGCUCAACCUGGGAACUGCGUCUGAUACUGGAUGGCUUGAAUUCGGGAGAGGGAUGCAGAAUUCCAGGUGUAGCGGUGAAAUGCGUAGAUAUCUGGAGGAAUACCGGUGGCGAAGGCGACAUCCUGGACCGACAUUGACGCUGAUGAGCGAAAGCUAGGGGAGCAAACGGG
rnacentral:rRNA from 1 species